rnacentral:rRNA from 1 species
UACGAAGGGGGCUAGCGUUGUUCGGAAUUACUGGGCGUAAAGCGCACGUAGGCGGACAUUUAAGUCAGGGGUGAAAUCCCAGAGCUCAACUCUGGAACUGCCUUUGAUACUGGGUGUCUUGAGUAUGGAAGAGGUGAGUGGAAUUCCGAGUGUAGAGGUGAAAUUCGUAGAUAUUGGAGGAACACCAGUGGCGAAGGCGGCUCACUGGUCCAUUACUGACGCUGAGGUGCGAAAGCGUGGGGAGCAAACAGGG